UUUCAUUUCCGUCUUAUCAUC
ensembl:piRNA 21ur-2699 ncRNA